rnacentral:rRNA from 1 species
GGGGAAUUGUUCGCAAUGGGCGCAAGCCUGACGACGCAACGCCGCGUGGAGGAUGAAGAUCUUCGGGUCGUAAACUCCUGUCGAGCGGGACGAACACUUAUCCGGUUAAUACCUGGAUAGGCUGACGGUACCGCUAAAGGAAGCCCCGGCUAACUCUGUGCCAGCAGCCGCGGUAAGACAGAGGGUGCAAACGUUGUUCGGAAUUACUGGGCGUAAAGCGAGUGUAGGCGGUUUGGUAAGUCGGAUGUGAAAGCCCCGGGCUCAACCCGGGAAGUGCACUCGAUACUGCCAAGCUAGAGUAUCGGAGAGGUUGGUGGAAUUCUCGGUGUAGAGGUGAAAUUCGUAGAUAUCGAGAGGAACACCGGUGGCGAAGGCGGCCAACUGGACGAAUACUGACGCUGAGACUCGAAAGCGUGGGGAGCAAAC